CUUAAGCAUUAAGUAGGCAUUGGUCUAGCCAACCUUUGUUCGUCUGCUAUGCAGAAGCUCUCUCUACUUUUCGAGCUUUCUACAGAACAGUCAUCCCUGGAUCUGUCUCAGGUUCCAUAGUUAGACUUAUACUUAUAGCUCAUGAGGUUAUGGGCCCAGGUUUACGUUUAAUUCAUACCGAACAAUGACCGAACACGCUGCCCAGGACGUUCCUUAAGGGUAGUACAACACGUAGCCAAGUUUGAUGGGACGAAAUAUCGUGAGUGGAACUACAAACUUAUUCUGCCUUUUCAGCAACUGGAAAUAGAUCCAGUGGUUUUAGGAACGGAAGAAUGCCCAACUGAGAACACAAUCAGUCAUCACGCUGCCUUAGUUUAUUUUUGCUGAUACAAUCGACAUAUUUGAUGUGCACUGCUGAGAACACAGUUUUUUAUAAGCAAUUAAACCAACUUGUUCUUUGGUGUAGCAAAGCUAUUGCACAUCUGCUCCUUUUUCUUUUGGAUGCAACUUUUUUAAUGACAUUGAACUUAGUGAUGCAAGGAUGGAAAUGAAGAAGGAUUCCUCUAAAAUGAACAAGAUAUUUGACAAUGGAAUAAAGAGGACAUCCUGGCUAUCAAUUGCACAUUCAAUGUUAUGGCUUGGUCGCCAUAACAUUCCUCAGAGGCACUUCAUCUCAAUGACACGCGCAAACCGAGAAGAAUCAUGGUACUUGGCCACUUUGGUCCGCAGCUCUUGUUACAAUCUUUUCC